UACAUUCGACGGUGGGCAGGAAAUAGUCGUUGCAAAUAAUAGCGAGCAGUAUGAAGAAAUAGACGGCGGCAAAGACAUGCAACACGACCCAGCCUUGACGUAAUUGCUCCACUGUUCGGAGGAGAAGAGAGGUGAAGAGUGUUAAGUUUGCCAUUUACAUGCAGACACCAUAUAACACCGUGUCACACAUGAUGUGCGUGCGAACGCGUGGUAAAUGAAAACAAUAACAUCGAAUAACGUAAAUUUAAAGCGUUGAUGUAAACAAACAAGGGAAUAAUAAGCUUUUUAAAAAUAAGUGAAUUUUGAUUAAUUUUGAGUUAAUGUUGUGUUGUGUGUGUGAUUUAAAGUGUUAAAAAAAGUUUAGAAUAGUGUAAUGAGAAUAGUGUAAAAAAAUCAUAGUGAAAAUUUGUGAAAAUUGUGCAAUCAAGUCAUAGUGAAAAUUUGUGAGACACGUGUGCGAAAGCAGCUGGGAAAUUGGCUUAAAUAUUCAGCGCUAACUGCGGUAUUUCAGUGCGCAAACGACUUACAUAUUUUGUGGACCUAUGGAAUGAAAUUGAAAUGCUCAAAUAGCAAAAGAGCAGUUAAUUCGUGUUGGUGCAGCGUAAUUUAGAGCGCAUAUUAUUUUGUGCAACAUAACCUUAAUGCAGUGAACUAGCAGUUGAGUUAGCGCACUUUGUACGCAUUAGCGGUACAUUUGUAAUGAUAAACUAGGAUUGCGGGCAAUGCUUAAAGUUUGCUCGAAACUUUUUACAAAAAGACUGGGGUUUACUUUUUUGCUGGUUAUUUAUUUACUACGGCACAUAAGCAACAAAGCUUGAGUUAAGCAAUAAGCAGCAAGUGUGAAGGCAGCGACACUUUAUUAAGGCGCAACAACAAAGUAACCCUGAGUAAUUCACAACUAGAUGUCGCUCUCGUGUAAGCAAACUGACAGUUAACGGAAAUUAAAUUUGUGGAGUCAUGCAGCGAGUCAAUUGUUGCAUUCUCUUAAAGAUUUAAAUAUAUUUUUUUAAUAUUGAAUAUAAUUUUCAUCCAAAGCAUGAUAAAAGUGGUAAAGGUGGCUUAAAGUGUGUAAAUAAGAAGCAGAAAUUAUGAAGUUAUUAGAAAAAGUGAUUCAAGUGCAAUAGCAAAGCGCCUAGCAGGCAUAAACGCCACGCUGCUUUAUGUGUUAAAAUCGUCAACAGGAGCUUUGCUUAUGCUCCUUUUUUCUAACAUUUACGCUUCUGUAGAGUAAAUUUGGUGUAAAGUGCAUUAAAUGUUAAAUAUUAUUAAGUAUUCAUCAUGAAUACUCGAAAGUGUUACAUCUCAAUUAUAGUGUGCAUGCACGACCGAAUAAUGUGUGCAGGUGUUCGGAGCUUCGAUUUUAUAUUACAAAACAGCAAUAAUUAUAUUAACGAUGUAUGAAGUAUACAAGAAUAUCUCUGUUGGUGUGGAGCUGCAAACUCUUACUUAAUCAGUUACUACCAACACGGCAGCAUCUGAAACGAUUCACGCCUUAUACAGUAUACCGUAAUCUACCCGCUUGUUGUUGCACUGGACAGCGAUUGCACAAAGGAGCUUUAAGCUCAUUACUAGAAAUCGUUUGAGCACCUACGCCGUCAUUGAGCUUUUUGUCGUCCAGUUAAGUUAGCAUAACGAGCACACCGUUAUUUUGGAGCAAAAAUUCCGCAUAACAACUAGUCUUCAAUUCUUCAAUGUACUUAAAGAAAAAUCAUCAUUUCGACUAGCAAGUUCACAUUCUCCGAGAGUGCCGAUAAUUACUGUUAGAAGACAAAUUUUUCAGAGCCAAAUGUUUGGGAGGUGGUCUGUGUCAGAUUUGUUGAGAAAUUAUUUUUGUUUAUAUUUUUCAGCUGCUGAAGAUUUAUUGUAUUACUAAAUGAAUUAAAGGGAACUGGGAGUAAGCUGUCCUAGAGCUGUUGUGGCAUAGUGCAAUUAUUUUGUGCGGCGCUGUAUGCAUGCAACCUUCUUGGCAGUUCCGCGAAAGUCUCGGUACUUCCAGAACAGUUAACUUCACCCAAGUGAAUGUAACAAGUCGAAAGUGAACGCAUAAAAAAAGAAAAAAUAAAUAAAUAAAAAAAACUAUAAAUUUGCAAACAGAAAUGUAAAUUUGUGAG